rnacentral:rRNA from 1 species
CAAAGGCUUGGUCCUGACUUUAACAUCAACUUUAGCUAUACUUACACAUGCAAGUAUCCGCACCCCUGUGAGAAUGCCCCCCAGUUCCCCGUCCGGGAACAAGGAGCUGGUAUCAGGCACACUUUGAAGCCCACGACGCCUUGCUUAGCCACACCCCCAAGGGAAUUCAGCAGUGACAAACAUUAAGCUAUAAGUGAAAACUUGACUUAGUUAAAGCUAAGAGGGCCGGUAAAACUCGUGCCAGCCACCGCGGUUAUACGAGAGGCCCAAGUUGAUGAACAUCGGCGUAAAGAGUGGUUAAGCUAAAAUUAAAACUAAAGCCGAACGUCCCCAAAGCUGUUAUACGCACCCGGGGGUAAGAAGUUCAACCACGAAGGUGGCUUUAUUAAACCUGAACCCACGAAAGCUACGGCACAAACUGGGAUUAGAUACCCCACUAUG